CAAGCAGGCCCCCGGGGUCACUCUGGCUUAGACCUCCAGGACAACAGGGGCUGUCCUUCCACCUCUCUCCAUGCCCUGGAUGCUCACUGCACCUGCUAUAGGAGCUCACCAGGGAACCCAGAGCUCCUCCUGGCCCUGCACCCACAAAGCCUCUCGUGGCUUCUGCUUGUCAGCACGGGCCCUCCCCACUGCCUGGGGACCUUCCGAUGCAUCUCCCAGGUCAUCUAGCAGGCGUCCUGAGGAGAUUUCCCUGGCUUUGCCACUGAGCUGACCUGAUUUAGGUCCAGAAACAUGCUGCUCUUCUCUGAGACAGCUAAACCCCACGUUCUUACUAGGAUUCUGAGGCUGGCCUUGAACUUGAGAUCCUCCUGCCUUGGCCUCCCCAGUCACUGGGAUUUCAGUGAGAAAUACUGAUUCACACCAUGGAUGAACGUCAAAAACGUCAUGCUCUGUGAAAGAAGACAAACAUAGAAGGUCACAUACUGGAUGGCUCUAUUUUUAUGAAAUGUCCAUAGUUGGCGACUCCACAGAGACAGAGGGAAGAUGAGUAAUUGCCAGCAGCUGGAGAGAGGGAAGGAUGGGGAAUGACUUCCUGUUGGGUUCGGGGUUUUAUUUUGGGGCAAUGAAAAUGUUUUGAAACUGGA